rnacentral:rRNA from 1 species
UACGAAGGGGGCGAGCGUUGUUCGGAAUUACUGGGCGUAAAGGGCGCGCAGGCGGCUCUGAAAGUCAGAUGUGAAAGCCCCGGGCUUAACCUGGGAAUUGCAUUUGAUACUCUGGAGCUUGAGUACGGGAGAGGAGAGUGGAAUUCCCAGUGUAGAGGUGAAAUUCGUAGAUAUUGGGAAGAACACCGGUGGCGAAGGCGGCGCUCUGGACCGAGACUGACGCUGAGGCGCGAAAGCGUGGGGAGCAAACAGG